ensembl:lincRNA
GCCUGGGCGCUGCAGGGAGCCUGGCAAUCUGUUAGUUUCAAACAUCAUCUCUUCAUUCAUUCCUGUGAUGCAUGGUGGAGCCAAGAGGGAAAAGAUUUUGCCUGUAGGCUCAAGUCUGAACUUGUUUAUUCAUCUCUAUUAUCUGGUGAUACAGUUUAUUCUUUGCUGCAUUGAGAGGAACAAAACAAAAUACUUUAUAAGGCUCCAACAUACUCUGGAGGACCGCAGGACUUGGCAGAAAGAAUCCUAACCAGUGUUUCCAAUGGGAGGAGAGGAGGAAGCUGUGAGAAAGCCUGCCUCACAGCAUUGUGUGGUGGUGAUGGAUGCUACUGCUCAGAUUCUAGCCCAAAGCCUUUUUAUUUAAGGAAUGAUGCUCUAAGCCCCCAAGAAAUGUGCAUCCAUGGUCAGCUUCUGCUAGCUCAGGACACUGGUCACUUUAGACAUGAAGCUGUUCUUUUAGACUCACUGUAUCCAGGAAGCAAUGAAGUACAGAGGCUACAAAGCCUUCCUACAUUCCAAUCCAAUGCUUGAACCCAGUUCUGAGCCAGAAGAUCUUACAGGAUUUUAAAACUUUCACUUUUAGCUAUUUCCAAAUUUCUUGUCUAUGGAAACUGGUGAAAAAGAAAAGGAAGUAUUGAAAUAUGGAUAUUGCAAGGCUCUGAUCAACUGUUUUUCAGCAGGGGAAAAUCUUGAGCAAAUAGUGGUCCUUCCAGAAAGUCCCUGCGAAACACUGUAGGGAGCCCCCAAGGACCUUGGCCCCAGACAUGGAUUUAGCACAUCCCAGAACCACUAACUUUCAGCUGUGAGUUCCAGAGGCAAUUGCUCCCUUUCCCUUGCUUUAAUUUUUUCAAUGUUGUAACAUAAUUAUAUCAUCUCCUCCUUUCUUCCCCCUCAUUAAACUCCCUACAUGUCCCUUCUCUUUUUUUCACUAAUUGUGAGUCUUAACUUGGUUUGAGAGGCAUAAGCAACAUGCUGGAGUUCAGGGAGGUGAAGGUAUUCUGGGGUCUCAAGUCCCUGGGCAAUGUAGUCUCCAAUAAUGAUUGAAAGAGAAAACUCUGAUCUGAGACAGUAUGUCAAGGCCACUCACGAUGAAUAAUUCACUAAGAAGCUGGCUUGGUUUCAAGUCACAAUUAGUUUUAAGCAGGUAAGAGGAAACAGGUAAAAGAUAGGAACACGUGCCACAGUUCCUACUACUCCGCCACUGCCUCACUUGAAAGGAUCUCAUCUUUGGUGCAUCUGUAGAAUUUCCAUGUCUUAGGUCAUGCUGGUAAUUAGACAAUACUCAGGCAGUUCUUCUCAGUCUGGGACCAUUUUAACAGUGGACCCAUAGUGACAAUCUCAGAGCCUUACCCCAUGAAAUGCUUCAAAAAACAUUCUAGUCUUGGAAGAAACAAUGAACUGUUGUCUCGGCAGAAGGCUAUCAGCACUAGUUGCCAUGUAUUUUAUUCUUUAUUCUUAUAAUCCAAUCUAUCCUGCUAGCUAACAAAUUUUGAACUGGUUGGACAUUUUAAGCCUAUUAAUAAAGGACAAGGGAGAUGAUGUACCAUCCCCCUUGCCCUAUAUACAGGGGCUAGUGUGGUCCUCUGUGUUAGGUUUCAAAAUGCUCUUCCCUAGAUAAUCCAACUAAUGAGGGAUCUUCUUCUGUAUGUAUUUUCUCUUUUUGGUUGAUGAAUAAAACACUGAUUGGCCAGUAGAGGCAGGAGGAUAGGCGGGGCUAUGAGACCAGGAGAAGGCUUGGUAGGAAGGCAGGGAGGGAGCCGUAGAGAGGCGCCAUGUAGAGAUGGGAAAAAUGACACACACACCAGGCAUUCUCUGGUAAGAUAAGGUCAUGUAGAAAUACAUAGAUUAGUAGUUAUGGGUUAAUAAUUAAGUCAGAGCUAGCCAAUAAGAAGCCCCAGCCAUGGGCCAACAGUUUAUAAUUAAUACAGCAUCUGUGUGUUUAUUUGGGGCAAAGUGGCUGUGGGACCAGGUGGGACAGAAACCUCCAUCUUCAUCCAACCAUUUUGUUCGUGCACUGUCUUUAUACAUUUGGGC